rnacentral:misc_RNA from 1 species
GUCGAAUUACUUUUUUCGCAAACUCCCUGUUUAUGAAAAUGCCAGAUGCUCCCAGAGUUCGUAAUAUGCUUUCUUUCAGUGUCUUGACUCCUUACUAUAAUGAAGAUGUUCUCUAUUCUGAUGAGGAGCUUAACAAAGAAAAUGAGGAUGGUAUUACCACUCUGUUUUACCUUCAGAAGAUAUAUCCAGAUCAAUGGAAAAAUUUUGAGGACCGCAUCAAUGAUCCCAAGCUUAAGGACAUAAGUAAAGACAAGAAUGAAUUAAUUCGUUACUGGGUAUCAUACAGAGGACAGACACUUGCAAGGACAGUGAGAGGAAUGAUGUACUAUAGGGAGGCUCUUGAGCUUCAAUACUUUCUGGAUUUUGCAGAGGACAAAGCAAUAUUUGGAGGAUAUCGGAUCAUUGAUAUGAAUCGAACAGAUUACAGAGCUUUGAAGGAGCGUGCACAGGCAUU